rnacentral:rRNA from 1 species
AGUGAACGCUGGCGGUAGGCCUAACACAUGCAAGUCGAACGGCAGCACAGUAAGAGUUUGCUCUUACGGGUGGCGAGUGGCGGACGGGUGAGGAAUACAUCGGAAUCUACUUUUUCGUGGGGGAUAACGUAGGGAAACUUACGCUAAUACCGCAUACGACCUACGGGUGAAAGCAGGGGAUCUUCGGACCUUGCGCGAUUGAAUGAGCCGAUGUCGGAUUAGCUAGUUGGCGGGGUAAAGGCCCACCAAGGCGACGAUCCGUAGCUGGUCUGAGAGGAUGAUCAGCCACACUGGAACUGAGACCCGGUCCAGACUCCUACGGGAGGCAGCCGUGGGGAAUAUUGGAACAUGGGCGCAAGCCUGAUCCAGCCAUACCGCGUGGGUGAAGAAGGCCUUCGGGUUGUAAAGCCCUUUUGUUGGGGAAGAAAAGCAGCAGGUUAAUACCCCGCUGUUCUGACGGUACCCAAAGAAUAAGCACCGGCUAACUUCGUG